UUCUCUUCAUUCUGGGGGUUCUGACGGGCUCCAGGAAGGUCUGUGUAUGUCUUGUUUUUGUAUUUGUAUUCCUAGAAUUUGGUACCUUAUUUGGUAUAUGUUAAACUGCUUCAUAGAUGUAAUUCAUUCAUUUAAGUAGAGGCAAACCAGUAAAAAAAUCAGGAAAUGGCCAAACUUUAGAAUGACAGGGCUGCAAACAAACGAACCUGUUGAGUGUGUUUCUAUUCUCCUUCUAGUGGCUUUUAGGAAACAUGCUCUGACCUCAGAAGGGGAACAGCAUCUCCAAGAACCAGAUGAAAAAAAGAGGAAGUCCCCAUCUUGGGUUUAAAGCACAAGUUUGGAGUGUCACCAAAAGCUGAUGUUACAAAGAUCCAUUUCAUUGGGGAAGAAGAGCACUUGAUCCAGCAAACAUAUUUUCUCUCUCCAUCCUUUGGAUAGCAAACACAUCAACAUUAUAUGUUAUUGACUGCUGCUUCCCUAGCCCUUGAUCUGCUGCAACCUGGCUCUGACAUGACUUCUACUGAAAAUGGAUCUUUAAAACUUACCAACCCAGCUAACCUUGCAAGGACAACUCUUAGAGGGAAAAGACCUUUAUUUGAAUCAUCUGUGGCAACUGCUGCUUGGCCUGUGUUCUGGAGGUCAAC
rnacentral:lncRNA from 1 species